rnacentral:lncRNA from 1 species
GAUAAAAAUUGAUUUUACAGUUUUUGUAACAAACCAAGAUUGAUCUUCAACAGUACCAAGAUUGAUCUUCAAUAGUACCAAGAUCGAUCUUCGUUACAACCAAGAUCAAUCUUGAGUUAAACUUUCAAUUUUUAAAACAGAAAUUCUAAAAAGGGGCAAUUAUAAUUCAAACCCCCUUCCUUAUAAUUGACAUUGCUACUUCAAUU